AACGCAGCGAAGGGCGAUACGUAAUGUGAAUUGCAGAAUUCAGUGAAUCAUCGAAUCUUUGAACGCACAUUGCACUCCUUGGUAUUCCGAGGAGUAUGCCUGUUUCAGUAUCAUGAGCACUCUCACAACUAACCUUUUGGGUGAAAAUUGUGGAAUUGGAAUGCGCUGAUUGUAAUAACCAGCCCUUCUAAAAUAUAUUUCAUGACUGUCACCUAACACAGCAGUUUGGCCUAAUAGUUUUGACAUUGAUUUGUCAAAUCUUUGGCUUACAUUUGCUUCAGGUUGUCAGUUUUGAUAAUACAGAAAACUCAUUCAAAUUUUGAUCUGAAAUCAGGUAGGGCUACCCGCUGAACUUAA
rnacentral:rRNA from 1 species